rnacentral:misc_RNA from 1 species
UCCUGAAGCUUUAACCUCAUCUCAUCUGCAUCAUAGUCCACUGGAUCUGGGCUUUGAAUUUCCAAGUAAUCUGAUUCAGAAUUUAACUGGUAGGUACCACAAUGUCUCACUGAUGCAAAAGUGUUGCAGGGAUCUUGAGUAGUGAUGGAGGAUCCGGAGCCAAUUCUAGGCUGGUAAGAUGAUGCAUCUAGUAGGUGAAAUGAAUUCCCAGAAAUGCUAGAACUAGAUGGCCGUAUUAGUUCUUCUGUUGGGGAGUCAAUGAAGUACUUCUCAUAACUCUCACUAGAGUAAGAAUCAGUCAUAUACAUGGUCUUUCGUUUAUCAGAGCCAAAUAUUUGGGUGGACAAGCCAGAAUUCUCAUUGCUCCCAUUCAAUGAGUAGAGCUUAUGAUCUCGGUAGGGUGUGGCAGAAAGCUCUGCAGGUCUAACUAAUGACAUGAUUCUCUAAAUUAACUCAGUCUUGGAGAAACGGUUGUAUGAUAUAUUUUAAGGCCUGAAUUAGAAGGACCUCAAGAAGAAGCAAUAAGGGUCAUAUAAACAGCUAAUCCUGCAAUUUCAGGAGACAAUCAGAUAGGCAUAAACCUCAAGAUUAGCUUUGAAGGAAGGGAGAAAC